rnacentral:rRNA from 1 species
CCUACGGGAGGCAGCAGUGAGGAAUAUUGGUCAAUGGGCGCUAGCCUGAACCAGCCAAGUAGCGUGAAGGAUGACUGCCCUAUGGGUUGUAAACUUCUUUUAUAUGGGAAUAAAGUGCAGUAUGUAUACUGCUUUGCAUGUACCUUAUGAAUAAGGAUCGGCUAACUCCGUGCCAGCAGCCGCGGUAAUACGUAGGGGGCAAGCGUUGUUCGGAAUGACUGGGCGUAAAGGGUGUGGAGGUGGUUUGAUAAGUUAGAUGUGUAAUACCCAGGGCUUAACUCGGGUGCUGCAUCUAAAACUGUUAGACUUGAGUACUGGAGAGGAUAGUGGAAUUCCUGGUGUAGCGGUGGAAUGCGUAGAUAUUAGGAGGAACAUCAGUGGCGAAGGCGACUAUCUGGACAGCAACUGACACUGAGGCACGAAAGCGUGGGGAGCAAACAGGAUUAGAUACCCCAGUAGUC